rnacentral:rRNA from 1 species
GUCGAGGGGCAUCAGUUUGGUUUGCUUGCAAACCAAAGCUGGCGACCGGCGCACGGGUGAGUAACACGUAUCCAACCUGCCUCAUACUCGGGGAUAGCCUUUCGAAAGAAAGAUUAAUAUCCGAUAGCAUAUAUUUCCCGCAUGGGUUUUAUAUUAAAGAAAUUCGGUAUGAGAUGGGGAUGCGUUCCAUUAGUUUGUUGGGGGGGUAACGGCCCACCAAGACUACGAUGGAUAGGGGUUCUGAGAGGAAGGUCCCCCACAUUGGAACUGAGACACGGUCCAAACUCCUACGGGAGGCAGCAGUGAGGAAUAUUGGUCAAUGGACGCGAGUCUGAACCAGCCAAGUAGCGUGAAGGAUGACUGCCCUAUGGGUUGUAAACUUCUUUUAUAUGGGAAUAAAGUUGUCCACGUGUGGAUUUUUGUAUGUACCAUAUGAAUAAGGAUCGGCUAACUCCGUGCCAGCAGCCGCGGUAAUACGGAGGAUCCGAGCGUUAUCCGGAUUUAUUGGGUUUAAAGGGAGCGUAGGCGGAUUGUUAAGUCAGUUGUGAAAGUUUGCGGCUCAACCGUAAAAUUGCAGUUGAUACUGGCAGUCUUGAGUGCAGUAGAGGUGGGCGGAAUUCGUGGUGUAGCGGUGAAAUGCUUAGAUAUCACGAAGAACUCCGAUUGCGAAGGCAGCUCACUGGAGUGUAACUGACGCUGAUGCUCGAAAGUGUGGGUAUCAAACAGGAUUAGAUACCCUGGUAGUCCACACAGUAAACGAUGAAUACUCGCUGUUUGCGAUAUACAGUAAGCGGCCAAGCGAAAGCAUUAAGUAUUCCACCUGGGGAGUACGCCGGCAACGGUGAAACUCAAAGGAAUUGACGGGGGCCCGCACAAGCGGAGGAACAUGUGGUUUAAUUCGAUGAUACGCGAGGAACCUUACCCGGGCUUAAAUUGCA